rnacentral:rRNA from 1 species
UAGCCGUAAACGAUACUCGCUAGGUGUCGGCCACGGUGCGACCGUUGUCGAUGCCGUAGGGAAGCCGUGAAGCGAGCCACCUGGGAAGUACGGCCGCAAGGCUGAAACUUAAAGGAAUUGGCGGGGGAGCACAACAACGGGUGGAGCUUGCGGUUUAAUUUGGAUUCAACGCCGGAAAUCUUACCGGGACCGACAGCAACAUGAAGGCCAGGCUGAAGACUUUGCCGGAUUAGCUGAGAGGAGGUGCAUGGCGUCAGUGACU